UACGUAGGGUGCAAGCGUUGUCCGGAAUUAUUGGGCGUAAAGGGCUCGUAGGCGGUCCAUCGCGUCGGGAGUGAAAAGCUGGGGCUUAACCCCAGUCCUGCUUUCGAUACGGGUGGACUAGAGGUAGGCAGGGGAGAACGGAAUUCCUGGUGUAGCGGUGAAAUGCGCAGAUAUCAGGAGGAACACCGGUGGCGAAGGCGGCGACCUGGGACGAUACUGACGCUGAGGUGCGAAAGCGUGGGGAGCAAACAGG
rnacentral:rRNA from 1 species